UACCAGCUCUCCGAGUGGUAGGGAUGAUUAUUGGGCUUAAAGCGUCCGUAGCCGGCUUCGCAAGUCCUCCGUUAAAUUCAGCAGCCUAACUGUUGAGCUGCGGGGGAUACUACGAGGCUAGGAGACGGGAGAGGCCGACGGUAUUCUCGGGGUAGGGGUGAAAUCCUAUAAUCCCGGGAGGACCACCAGUGGCGAAGGCUGUCGGCUAACACGCGCUCGACGGUGAGGGACGAAAGCUGGGGGAGCGAACCGGAUUAGAUACCCGGGUAGUCCCAGCUGUAAACGAUGCAGGCUAGGUGUUGGCGCGGCUACGUGCCGCUCCAGUGCCGCAAGGAAGCCGUUAAGCCUGCCGCCUGGGAAGUACGGCCGCAAGGCUGAAACUUAAAGGAAUUGGCGGGGAGCACCACAAGGGGUGAAGCUUGCGGUUU
rnacentral:rRNA from 1 species